UACGGAGGGGACUAGCGUUGUUCGGAAUUACUGGGCGUAAAGCGCACGUAGGCGGAUUGUUAAGUCGGGGGUGAAAUCCUGGAGCUCAACUCCAGAACUGCCUUCGAUACUGGCGAUCUCGAGUUCGGGAGAGGUGAGUGGAACUGCGAGUGUAGAGGUGAAAUUCGUAGAUAUUCGCAAGAACACCAGUGGCGAAGGCGGCUCACUGGCCCGAUACUGACGCUGAGGUGCGAAAGCGUGGGGAGCAAACAGG
rnacentral:rRNA from 1 species